rnacentral:rRNA from 1 species
AGAGUUUGAUCCUGGCUCAGAAUGAACGUUGGCGGCGUGGAUUAGGCAUGCAAGUCGAGCGCGAUAUUUUUGAAAGAUACUUCGGUUGAUUUCAUCAAUGGAAAGCGGCGAAAGGGAGAGUAACGAGUAGAUACGUACCCAGGGGUUCGGGAUAGCCAUGCGAAAGCGUGAGUAAUACCGAAUAAUGUCUCCGGACCAAAAAUUUAUUGCCCUUGGAGCGGUCUGCUUACUAUUAGCUUGUUGGUGGGGUAAAGGCCUACCAAGGCGAAGAUGGUUAGCGGGUGUGAGAGCAUGGCCCGUCUCACUGGGACUGAGACACUGCCCAGACACCUACGGGUGGCUGCAGUCGAGAAUCUUCCGCAAUGGACGAAAGUCUGACGGAGCGACGCCGCGUGAUGGACGAAGGCCCUCGGGUUGUAAACAUCUGUCGUAGGGGAGGAAAUUUUGACCGAUCCUAGGAGGAAGCACAGGCUAAGUUCGUGCCAGCAGCCGCGGUAAUACGAACUGUGCGAACGUUAUUCGGAAUCACUGGGCUUAAAGGGUGCGUAGGCGGGUUGGUAGGUCAGAUGUGAAAGCCCACGGCUCAACCGUGGAAUUGCGUUUGAAACCACUAGUCUUGAGGGGAUCAGAGGAGAGCGGAACUGAUGGUGGAGCGGUGAAAUGCGUUGAUAUUAUCAGGAACACCGGUGGCGAAGGCGGCUCUCUGGGAUCUUUCUGACGCUGAGGCACGAAAGCUAGGGGAGCGAACGGGAUUAGAUACCCCGGUAGUCCUAGCUGUAAACGAUCUGUACUAGUCCGUGGGGACCCCCACAUCUUCUCGGACGUAGCGAAAGUGUUAAGUACAGCGCCUGGGGAGUAUGGUCGCAAGGCAA